rnacentral:lncRNA from 1 species
UUAGUGGAAUAUUCAGUCACGGUGCCCAACAUUCCAGGGCAUAGCCCUGCCUUUAGCCGCAGGCAAGUAGAGAUUUUGAGAACAACAACUGAAAUUCACCACAGUUACUGAUCAACCUGGGUUGGCUUAUAUAGGCUCAAAGGUGAUGGCAGUAGCCAAAUCAAGUGCUUUUGGGCAAAGCCAGGGACUGGUCUCCUCACAAUGAGGCCCAGUAUGGAUCUAUUAUCUAGGACAACCAAUCAGACUCCCUGACAGAUUUUUUUUGUUUGUUUUUUUUUCCAGUAAAUUCUGGGAUAACCUGGAGAGUUGAAUGGGCACCAACUUUUCUAUCUGUGGAGAGACACUUUAGGAAGAAUAAAGCUUCAGGAGAAGAAAAAGACAAAAGACGUUGGAGUUGCCUCAUUGAAACCAGCAGCACUAUAGUACUAUCAAUAUGAUAGACACAGAUUUCUACAUAGGGACAAACUGGAGGCAGAGACAGAACGCCCUACAGCUUAAAUCUGAGGAAAGGGAGUGGGAGUAGCAAAUAAGUAGGGAGAGGUAAGAACAUGGGAAAAGAAUCUGUAUCAGGAGAGGUAUUAGCAGAGAUGCGAAAGAGAAAGAAGCAUCAGGAAGAGGAGAAAAGAAAGAAAGAAAUUUUGUGCCUUUACGAUGACAACAAUGAGAUAAAUUGACAAGUUAUAUAUGUAUAUGUGUGUAUAUAUAUUUAAAUGAUAUUUUCCAAACAAAAGUUAUUUCAU